AGGUGUGGUUCAUCCCAAACAUAGUGUUUUGCACUCUUCUUUAUUGUGUCUGCAUACCAUGGUUCAUCAGUUUGGACAUGGAAGAUUUGUUCAUAGAAACCACUCUCACUUUCUUCAGAUUCUGGAAGUUGCCGCAUAGGGAGCUUCUGUUUGAGCAGACAAGUGUCUGUCUGCAUUGGAUGCCUGGCUGAACUGGAUUCCGCCUUCUCCUUUUGUUUGGGCGAUUUGAAUUCCCCUUGCUGAAGUGAUACGGGGGGUCCAUGGUCAACCUGCGUUUGGUUCCAGUCAGUCUGCUGUAUGCAACAGACUGUUGCUUUCAGUUUUGGCUCCCUUUGGCUUCCUUUAUCUUUUGGCUGGCCUCCCUGCAAAAGUCAUUGUUUAGCAUAUCAUCUUGAUUCAUAUCAAAAACUUCUUGGCUCAAACAAUCAAUGAUAUCUAAACCAUAAACGGGGGACAUGUCAUGGGGAUAUUUCAUGGAAUCAUAAACAUUAAAUUUUAUUACUUCCCCUUCAAAUUCCAUGGUCAAUGUGCCAUCAUGCACAUCUAUCUUAGUUCUGGCUGUGCUCAAGAAAGGUCGUCCAAGUAGGAUGUCUGAAGUAGUGUUGCUAUUGUCUUCCUCCAUAUCAAUCACAUAGAAAUCUGCUGGAAAGACAAGUUGAUCUAUUUGCACUAGAACAUCUUCUAGAACUCCUUUUGGGUAUACUACAGAUCUGUCAGCUAAUUGAAUGACCACUC
rnacentral:lncRNA from 1 species